rnacentral:rRNA from 1 species
UACGAAGGGGGCUAGCGUUGUUCGGAAUUACUGGGCGUAAAGGGCGCGUAGGCGGUCUUGUAAGUCAGGCGUGAAAGGCCCGGGCUCAACCUGGGGACUGCGCUUGAUACUGCGAGGCUUGAAUCCGGGAGAGGAUGGCGGAAUUCCCAGUGUAGAGGUGAAAUUCGUAGAUAUUGGGAAGAACACCGGUGGCGAAGGCGGCCAUCUGGACCGGUAUUGACGCUGAGGCGCGAAAGCGUGGGGAGCAAAC